rnacentral:lncRNA from 1 species
GCUGGGGCAAAUGAAAGGAACUACCUUAUUAGAAACAUAAAGGCUAGUGACUGUAUCUUGGCCAGUGUUCCCAUUUUUCCAGUAAGCUGUCUGCUGUACGGAGGUGUAUAACCCUAAUGGCUUGUUGUAUGCCAUUAAAAGAUCUUCAGUUGUUGAGCUGGUGUGUGAUGUAUUAAAUACGUUAUCUAUAAAGAUGGAUGGUUCAGCUGAAAGAGCAUGGUACUGAUAUGGAGAGAUACUAGGAAAAGGCAAUGUUAAUACAGUGCGUUAUCUGCAAAGGCAAUGUACAAAGGGAAGAAGCAGAAGAGAUUGCAUAUGUGUAUGAUGAGAGUCAAGAUGCUCAUCAUAAUGGCUUCCCAGUUGUCCUCCAGGUGCUUGAGUUUUGUCCAAGAUUUGCUUCCCUGGCAGUUUGAAAAGUGACAAUGAAACUGAUCCAGAGGUGUGGAUUAUAACCCCAUUGUGCAGGACAUGCUGAAGCUGGUUCUGAGGUAGUGGUGACAGUACGAUGCGGUGCGGAACUACAAGCUCAAGCCCUUGGAGCACUGCAGCUCUGUCAGCUCGACUGCAACCCAGGCUGUCAGCCGAUGAAUGCAUUGGGAGCCUUGUCUGCUCGACUGCUGCAAGGAAUUAGUUUUGUGGGCUGGUGAGGAGCUUGGUUUUCUGGUUUUAGUUGAGCACAUUUUGGUAUUUUAAAACAUUAUCUCAGACAGAGAACUGAAGUCAAACACAAAAGGCACCAGCGAUUUUUUCCCUGUCUCAAUUAUCAGUUUAUCCUUUUUACCUAUAGAAGGGAUGGAUUUAUUGUAGGGUAACCAGGUAAAUAUAGAAGGUUGUCUGCUGGACUGGGGUUAAGCUGACAGCUGUAAUUGCCUACUUUGGAAAAAUGCUGCUUUUCUUCAGAAAGUGCCUCCCAGACCUUAUUUAGAGAUUUGCUUAAUUUGGGCUGUCCUAUGGGUUAACAUCUGUGGAAUCUGUAUUUCUCUGGCAGUUGUGUCUCCCUUGGAUGUAAAUUACAGAUGCUAACCAAUGCCCUUUCCUUUUUUUCUUUAAGAGGAAAAAAAAAAAAAAACACAUUUAAAAUAAGCAAAUAAAGAGCUCCCACUGAAGAGUUAUGCUAAAAGA